UGGAUUUUAUGGAAUAGAUGCUAUGUGGUGGAAUCCUGAGUCACGGCCAAACAGCAAAUGCCAGCAAGAGUAGAGUAGGAGGCAUUUCUGUGUACACUUUGGGAAAAAGUCCAUUCCUCACUUGGUUUCAUUUCUGGCCUGAGCCGCUGUGUCCUCCACCUGAAGCCCUGACCUCUCCGUUACUGACUGGAUCCCAAUGUGCCACAGUUCACCUGCAUAAGGAGGGGGUCGAAGGUGAGGAAAUGAGACAUCAAAA
rnacentral:lncRNA from 1 species